rnacentral:rRNA from 1 species
ACUCCUACGGGAGGCAGCAGUAGGGAAUCUUCCACAAUGGGCGCAAGCCUGAUGGAGCAACACCGCGUGAGUGAAGAAGGGUUUCGGCUCGUAAAGCUCUGUUGUUAAAGAAGAACACGUAUGAGAGUAACUGUUCAUACGUUGACGGUAUUUAACCAGAAAGUCACGGCUAACUACGUGCCAGCAGCCGCGGUAAUACGUAGGUGGCAAGCGUUAUCCGGAUUUAUUGGGCGUAAAGAGAGUGCAGGCGGUUUUCUAAGUCUGAUGUGAAAGCCUUCGGCUUAACCGGAGAAGUGCAUCGGAAACUGGAUAACUUGAGUGCAGAAGAGGGUAGUGGAACUCCAUGUGUAGCGGUGGAAUGCGUAGAUAUAUGGAAGAACACCAGUGGCGAAGGCGGCUACCUGGUCUGCAACUGACGCUGAGACUCGAAAGCAGUGGGUAGCGAACAGGAUUAGAUACCCUGGUA